UCUCUCUCAAAAUAAAUAAAGAAACAUUAAAAAAAAAAGUUUUCACUAAAAUAAAAACUAAACAUUUAAAUAUUCACAUAGCAAGUUUUGUGGUCCCUGAAGAUAGAAUUUAUCUUUGUAACAGGCAUGAACUGCUCCACGAUAUAAUGUAAGAUUUCACUCUCUCUCUAAAUCAAAAUUAAGUCCAGGUUAAGUUCUAUUGGAACACUACAGUAUUGUUCCAUCUCUUCACUGCCUCCUAGGUAACAGGAUUAUACAACUACGUUCUUUGCCAGGUAACUAUGCAGGUUGCUCCUUUGGGCAGUGUGUUUCUCCAACCCUCGACUCUAGGCUUGGCCACAUGACUUGUUUUGACCAGGAGUAUUUUAGCAGACUUGACAUAAACAAAGACUUAAAAUAGGCUUGUGCACUGGGGCUGUUAUUCUUGUGCUUCUUCCAUCUCCGUGAGAUGAACAUCCCCCUACUAGCCUACUGAUCCUGGAAGGAAGAUGAAAGACACAUGGGGCAGAGCAAAACUAUCCCAGCCAAAGCCACUCUAUAAGCAAUUAGCUCCCAACUGGUUGCUAAACACAUACACUAAACAAAUGUUCAUUGCUGUGUGUACUGAAAUUUGGUGAUUGUUAUGCAGCAUUACUUUGGCCAUAGUUGAUCGAUAAAUGCCCCUUCUUUCCAAGAUUAUCUCGACCUCGGUUUGUUCCAGUUGCCACAGCUAUGCCUUCUUCCUGGAAUGCGGAGGUACUCCUGAAGGUGGGGGUUCUGAGGCAGCUCUAUCCUGUCUGUGACAAGUUUAACCAAGCCUCCCCAAACUGUGUCCCUGUGCUCAGUCCUCACAGUCAUGUAUGGCACUCAAUGAUUGCCUGGGUUUGAUCCUCAGACCCAUAACCUGGGAAACUCAUUUAAUUUUUCUUUGCCUCAUCUGUAAAAUGGAAAAAAUAAUAGUACUUACUUGAUAGAGUUCUUGGGAGAGAUAAAUGAAUAUAUAUAAAGUACUUAACACAGUGCCUGGCAUAGAGUAAAUGUGCAAAAAAUAGAAACUGUUACUAUCAUGUAUUUGUUCACCUAAAUAUUCUUCCCUCUAGGUCCUCCCACAUCAGAGAACCUGCACUCAUGUGAGCUCAGGUUCCUGCUCUGAUGGAAUUCAUACCUUCCUCCCCUUUCUAGUCUUGAGAACUCCAACUCACCCACCUGAGUUGGGCUCAUCCAUUUUUAGUCCAGGAAGCAUUAAACCUCCAAUCCUAAACUGUUAAGAAAGCCUGUGUAGAAGUUGUCUUCUGGGCAACUCACUGCUUGCAGAUUUUCCUUUCUAUGUAGAAACACACAAAUCCUGCUGGGGGUCAAGAAAGUCAAGGACACAACUUCUGGCUCUCCCCCAGGAGUGGUGGGAAUGCCUUUCAUUCCUCUGGGGUGAGCCUACAGCUGAAAAAAACUAGACAGUUAUUUUUUCAAUAUGUCAUUCUGCUACACCUAAUUCUCAAUAAAUCUUGGCCAUAGACUGUGAAUUCCUUCACCAUGUUUUAUUCAUUGUGAACCUCCAGAGCGUAGCAUAGUACCCACACUUAGUAGGUGCUUAAUAAAUGUUGGAUAAAUGAGUGAAGAAUGUAGGUUAUAGGACCAAGGCAAUUUCCAAAUGGGGGCUGUUGGAGAAAUAAACAUGAGUACCCACAGUACAUCCAGCCUUGUGCUCAAUGCUGAGGCCCAUGCAAGAAAAGUACCAAAACACCUGGAGCCUGUACUCAGUCCUCAAAGAAUUAAGCCUACCAAAGAAAUAAGGCUCAACCAGAGAAAUCACUUGUUCUGUCCCACAUCAAAAAGAGCCUAUUGAAGUGCUUGAUCCAGAAGCUGCUGUGGGCCUGAUAGUGUACAGCCUUGGGAAAGGAAGAGGCAAGAUGUGGCCUAAGGUUUGAAAGUCUGAGAGGGGCUCAGACACUCAGCAGAGGGCCAAUGGCUUGUCGGGUGUCCGAGAACAUCACGAGCAAAGGCACAGCAUAGGAAUGAGUCUGCUAUUUUUGGGAAAUAACAAGGAGAUCAGCCUGACCUGGCUGUAGGACUUGUGAUAUGGAGUCAAGAGAGAUAAUUGUGGCUAUUUCAGGCUGUGACCUGAGUGUAGAGACCUAGAAGUCAGGCUGGGAGUGGGUCCUGAUGAGUCAGGCAAUAAAGAAUGGGUUCUUGAGAGAAGACAUGACAAACAUUUGUCUCAUUCCAGGACUAAAAAAGAUUUUAAUCCAAUCCAGAGAUUCCAGAUAUGAGCCCACUAGAGGAGCAGACCACUCAGCUCCUCUAAGAAAGUAGAAUUUUAAGGCCCAAAAGGAACAAAAAGGUGGAAGAAGGCUGAAUUCCCUCUCUGCCUGACUGCAUGAUCUGGAACAUUGGUUUUCUGCUUCCCUCCAAGUUCCUGCUUCUGAAGCCUUUAGAUCCAGACUAGAAUCUACACCAUUAAUUCUCAGGCUCUCGGGCCUGAAAAUUAUACCCCUUCUUCUCUAGGUCUCCAUCUUGUAGAUGGCAGAUCCUGGGACUUCUCAGUCUCCAUAAUUGUGUGAGCGAAUUCCUUAUAAUAAAUCUCAUUUCCUAUUUUACAUC